rnacentral:rRNA from 1 species
UACAGAGGGGGCAAGCGUUGUCCGGAAUUACUGGGCGUACAGCGCGCGCAGGCGGACCGCCACGUGCCGUGUGACAAGCCACUGCUCAACAGUGGAGGGCCAGGGUACACGAGCGGUCUGGAGGCAGGGAGAGGGAUGUGGAAUGCCCGGUGGAGCGGUGAAAUGCGUAGAGAUCGGGCGGAACACCAGCGGCGAAGGCGGCGUCCUGGUCCUGUUCUGACGCUGAGGCGCGAGAGCGUGGGGAGCGAACUGG